rnacentral:lncRNA from 1 species
GUCACGGUGUCGUGCCRGGUCACGGCGCUGCUGCCGCUGUGCUCCGCUGUGCUGCUCUGUGCACUCUGCUGUGCCGGAAAAUACGUGCCGUGCUUGGAGAGAGCGGAGACGAGGGACAGGCAGGGAGCGUACACGCACCUAGGGUUUUUGUCUUUCGCUGAAGCAUCUGGCUUAUGCCCACAGCAGAGGGAAGCAGCAGGAGAUGAUGCAGGGCAGCAGGGGCAGGGGACGGUUGAUACUUCCAGCAGGGUUGAGAUCUGGACGACGAGUAAAAGGGUCAGGCUGCCUAUAACAGAGUGCGAGCGAGGUCCUGAGGGACAGACCUCUGCUUUGGCCUUAUCCUGUUGCAGAUGAUCCAUCUCACUUGAACAACUAGAUCUGCACACUCCUUGUCCAUUAGGAAGGAUAUGAAGAACUCAUGAGGGCUUACGACGUGGUGGGAGCUCCCUCUAUGGUAGGCACUCCCUACCAAGAAAGCUUUCUUCUUGGGAACUGUUUCUCAAAAAAAGAAUGACUCCUGGUGUGGAGAAUGUGCUUGCAGAAGGAAAUCUCUGAGGACAGGCUCUAACGGAAGGAAUCCACAAGUCCAUUGGACCAGACUAGGGCCUAGCUUCUGAUUACUGUUGUUUUUAACCAUUAACUGUCGCAGCGUAGAAAACCUCAUUUUCUAAUCAGUUCUCUGAAAAUGAAACCAAACCCAGCUGCUAUUCUUGUCUGGGGGCUCUUAGGGUGUUUUUAAAGUCAUUUCAUGAAAGAAAGCAUUUUGUUCUAAGCGGUUGACCAAAAUAAUUCAGAUUAUAAGAUCCAACUCAGCUAAAUUAAGUACAGAUAUUACUAUUUAGCUAAAAUGGUAGCGGGUUUUAUAAGAAGCAGCAUUGCUACAGCAAUGUAGACAUCAUUUUCUUUCUGUAAAGGUGAACAUUGUGUUCCGCACUGUUACUUUACCCUUGUGGAUCAGAUUUCGUCUGACCACAGAUGUCCUGUCAUCCCAUCAACAGACCAUGACCAUGCAUGAUAUCCCAUCAGGACUCUUAAGAAACUCCUGAUAUUCGAAGGAGAAUCAUAAACACUACAGGUGUUAUAAGAUCAUGGUAGACUUUUCUGUUAUUUUGGAGAUGAAACUCCUCCUUUCAGGGCAUUUAGAACAAAUAAAAAUGCUAACUGAAUCUUAUGGAUCA